rnacentral:rRNA from 1 species
UGAUGAACGCUAGCUACAGGCUUAACACAUGCAAGUCGAGGGGCAGCAUGGUCUUAGCUUGCUAAGGCCGAUGGCGACCGGCGCACGGGUGAGUAACACGUAUCCAACCUGCCGUCUACUCUUGGACAGCCUUCUGAAAGGAAGAUUAAUACAAGAUGGCAUCAUGAGUCCGCAUGUUCACAUGAUUAAAGGUAUUCCGGUAGACGAUGGGGAUGCGUUCCAUUAGAUAGUAGGCGGGGUAACGGCCCACCUAGUCUUCGAUGGAUAGGGGUUCUGAGAGGAAGGUCCCCCACAUUGGAACUGAGACACGGUCCAAACUCCUACGGGAGGCAGCAGUGAGGAAUAUUGGUCAAUGGGCGAGAGCCUGAACCAGCCAAGUAGCGUGAAGGAUGACUGCCCUAUGGGUUGUAAACUUCUUUUAUAAAGGAAUAAAGUCGGGUAUGGAUACCCGUUUGCAUGUACUUUAUGAAUAAGGAUCGGCUAACUCCGUGCCAGCAGCCGCGGUAAUACGGAGGACCCGAGCGUUAUCCGGAUUUAUUGGGUUUAAAGGGAGCGUAGAUGGAUGUUUAAGUCAGUUGUGAAAGUUUGCGGCUCAACCGUAAAAUUGCAGUUGAUACUGGAUAUCUUGAGUGCAGUUGAGGCAGGCGGAAUUCGUGGUGUAGCGGUGAAAUGCUUAGAUAUCACGAAGAACUCCGAUUGCGAAGGCAGCCUGCUAAGCUGCAACUGACAUUGAGGCUCGAAAGUGUGGGUAUCAAACAGGAUUAGAUACCCUGGUAGUCCACACGGUAAACGAUGAAUACUCGCUGUUUGCGAUAUACUGCAAGCGGCCAAGCGAAAGCGUUAAGUAUUCCACCGGGGGAGUACGCCGGCAACGGUGAAACUCAAAGGAAUUGACGGGGGCCCGCACAAGCGGAGGAACAUGUGGUUUAAUUCGAUGAUACGCGAGGAACCUUACCCGGGCUUAAAUUGCAGAUGAAUUACGGUGAAAGCCGUAAGCCGCAAGGCAUCUGUGAAGGUGCUGCAUGGUUGUCGUCAGCUCGUGCCGUGAGGUGUCGGCUUAAGUGCCAUAACGAGCGCAACCCUUGUUGUCAGUUACUAACAGGUUCCGCUGAGGACUCUGACAAGACUGCCAUCGUAAGAUGUGAGGAAGGUGGGGAUGACGUCAAAUCAGCACGGCCCUUACGUCCGGGGCUACACACGUGUUACAAUGGGGGGUACAGAGGGCCGCUACCACGCGAGUGGAUGCCAAUCCCCAAAACCUCUCUCAGUUCGGACUGGAGUCUGCAACCCGACUCCACGAAGCUGGAUUCGCUAGUAAUCGCGCAUCAGCCACGGCGCGGUGAAUACGUUCCCGGGCCUUGUACACACCGCCCGUCAAGCCAUGGGAGCCGGGGGUACCUGAAGUGCGUAACCGCGAGGAGCGCCCUAGGGUAAAACUGG